UUUCACAGUUUUUUUUAACAUAGGCUAUUUAAUUUCUGUUAAAAAAAAUAAGAAAGAAAAAUAUUAAGUAAUGUAUAAUUCUAUUUUUUUAUUCCGUAGACUAAAAUGACAUUUCAUGUGGUACUAAGAAAUUUAAUGUCAUGUCUUACAUAUGAAACGUCAUUUUAGUCUACGGAAUAAAAAAACAGACCUUAGGUAAUUUUAAACCAUCAUGUGGGAUUAUUAAAACAGGUUUUAAUAUGUUCUUUCUUUAAAAAUUAAACAAUUAUUUUGACCGCAUUUAAAACACCUGCAUUCACAUGCAGCAAUCCUACCGUUUUCUCGGCUAAAAGGAAAACAUUCAAGCUACCAUUUCAUUCAAAAGUUUUUAUUAGCAGUACCAGCACAUUUUAUUCAAGACGUCGGGCUGAAAUCAAAGGUGCAGAUAAAACUUUGAGUGCACUCGACGCGAUAUUGUAGAACUUACACUGUUGGACGUAACUGAACUGGGGCUCGGAAUCUUAAAUAGGACGACGUAUAUUAUUGUAUUUUUAUACUAAGGAAUGUUGUUGCGUCUUUUAAGUGGCGUAAAUUAGGUGUAGGUAGUUAGUAAAGGUCACACAUAUUUAUUUAUAUCAUACUUUAUGUGUAGAGUAGAACGCAUAGGUAUUUAUUAUUGUUAAUAUGUAAUUAAGUUGUGCUUAUACAAAAGAGAACCAUCAUGACUUACAACUAGGCAACAAAUUUGCUGGAAGAGGAAUCACUGAGAAUGCAAUGUUUUAUAAUAGGUAUUAGUUCAUAAUUAAAAAGAUAUGAUGUAACUUUAUUCUAAUUGUUACUGACUGAGGAUUGUCAUAUAAACAGUAGGGACCUACGUCCUUACGUAAUUUAAAUAACAAUAAACAUUUAAAUAAACCCGCUGAAAAGCAUUCGUUAAGCGCUUCCGCGCUAGAACAGAGGAGAUGCUAACUAUUUAUACAGUGCACCGCUUGCAUUACACAGAUAAAAUACGCUGCCAAGUUCUUGGGGCAAAAGAAGCGAAACGAAAGGCGAGAUUUACUGUGGAAAUUUUGGAAGUAAGCCGGGACUGCGUUUGUGGUGGCUUACAUUAAUCAUGCGAUGGAAAAAUACCCCUGGCGACUUACGAUGGAGUUCCGUUGGACGUCCGUAUUUAGAACAAACAGAGGCUGUUCGGGAAUCCCGUGUAAUCCGACCACUUAUCACGGCUGCAAAAUGCAAAUUUCCCGGCCGGCACGCAGUAUUACGGGCCGGGAUACGUCAGGGAUAUUGUCAAAGUUCGCUAUCGAGGGAUACACAGGUUAAUCUCAGGUCUAAACUUCACAAGAGGUGGGCCUACUCUAUUCGCAAUUAACACGAAUGCAGUUUUUUAUGUAAAUUGGAAGACAUAGCCCACUAGCACUGACAAUGAAAGUUCUAAAAGCAGAGUUCAUCAAACACAAGAUUGGCAACCCUGUCGCUGGAGGGCCAAUGGGAACGUUGUACCGCGGCGCCUGAGCAUGCUCGCCCGCUGCGCUCGCGCGGGAUUAACGAGGAAACAGGCAACACUGACAUUUGAAGCGCUGUGUGAACGUUAGAAACAAAAAUGGUAAAUUAAACUGUAUUUAUUGUGACUGUCUUUGGUUAUGAAAUUCUUUUUGAGCUGACCACCUAAAUAUGCUCAAAAAGUAUAUAAAACCACUUAUCUUUAUUUAGUUAAUAUAGAGCCUUAGCUUAGAUUUAUUUGUUUGUACCUAACAAUGCUCGAUUUUUUUCUGCAGCUGCUAUUUUAAAAUAACUCAAUUGAGCCUUUGCAAUACAUAGCAACUGUAACCAAUACAGCGAUGAGUGAUCCCGGCGACUGACACGGGCUAUUAUUCAAGCCUCUUAUACAACACAUCUCUGUAAAUUACCUAAUAUAAGUGACCUCUGAUUCCUUAAAAACGUUACGGAUCUUGAGCUCAAGGAUGAGCGGAGGAACGAAACGAAUGUAAGUUCUUCGUGAACCAAGGUUGUAGUAAUUCGCCCGCUCCGUAUUCGUUGGAAACGAUAUAAAUCAAAUGCAGUUGGUAGAGAUUUGCAUGUCACAACUGUUAAAUUUAUUGCAGUGGCAAGGUCGCUGCGGUCUUCGCAGAUAGCGAUAGCGGUUACGUUAACAAUAGACUGUUGUACAGUCACCUUUAAUAAUAUCCUAGGUGAAGUCAGCAUUAGAGCUGUGUAUUUCUGACUAUGCGUCAAAAGUAUCCACCAUUAUCUAAACACUUAAUAAAAAGAGAUAUGUCUCUGUGUUGCUAUAGAACAAUUAAACUGGUGCAGAUCAUUUUGAACGGAAACUGUCGAGAUAUAUAUCUAUUUGGAAAAGUAUUCCGGGGUGGGGUGGUAGAUACUUUUGAUGUAUUAUUUCAUACGCUAUUAUUGAUGCAGACUGUACAAGAUAAACCACGAAAUCAGGUCGUAUCAUAUAUGAUGCACGUUACUUAAUUACAAAUACCCAUUUUAUCCGAGAUGAUAAAUCUAUGUACUUACGUUACCUGAUAUCGCCUGUUGAAAAAAAUAGCUACAGACCUAGAGGCUUGUUCUGAUAGUUAUAACAGGUUAUGGAUUUGAUCUGGAUUUCUUGUUUGCAUCUGGUUGAAGAAAUGACAGAUCAUAUAUAUAAGAAAUCCAGAUCACAUUAAUUACCUAUUGUUACAAUCGUAACACGCCUCGUACUAAUUUUAUCUCUUGUAAAUUAAGUAUACAAAAUUAUUUAGUAUCACCAUGCAUAGUAUUAUCUACAUUUAAAAAGCAAAUUCAGCUCUGAUGAGAGGACGACGAUGUUAUAAUUAGUACUAUGAAUGUGUUUUUAAAAUAGUUCCAAGUACAAUUUAUUUAAUAAUCAACACGUGACUCUACUUAUUUUUAAAAGCCCAGUUUAUAAAAGCGUAAAAAAUAACUUCACUACUAUUCAAAAAAGUAGACAUUUUUGUAUACUUACUGAGACUUACGACAUUUUGCAGUGGUUAGUGUAUACUGGUUUUUAAAUGCUGUAACUGAAGGUAACAGUUAGGGUAGCCGGUAAAUCAACAUUAGGUCUACGGGAAAUGCCGACGAUUAUACGAUCGAUGUGUUGGUUUGUCCGUUGCCUGGUUAAAGAUAAAAUGCGACCACUAUUUCGACGCGAUUUGAGCAAUAAAUAUGAAAACAUUCGUAUAGUGUUUGACUACUAGGACAGUUACCUAAUUGUCUCAGAUUUUAAUUAAGAUUAGUAUUGUGCUCUAAUUUGAUACGGCUGGCUACCCAGGUUACUUAAAACAGAAUUCACGGCAAGCAGUUUUACUAAAGAAAAAAAUAAGUACUAAAAUCCUACUUAAAUCUCAACCUUACUCAAUAUUAACAGCUAGCCCUAGACCUAUUACCAGAAAACGAUAGCACUUAAGGAUAAUAAUAUAAUAAUUCAUAUAAGAAUAACCCUUUAUCAAGUCCGUGGCGGCGUUAGCAAAUUGUGCUGCGCCCAGGCUGAAUACUGGCGUGAUACACGCUAUGUAUUAUCAUACUAUCGAACUGUGUCAAAAUAGUUUUUAAGACAUGACGCUUAGUCGUAAAACUGCAUGAAAAAAAUUGCGGGAAGACUUGAAAGCUUUAUGAAUACAUAAAUACAAUUUAAUCAACUGAACUUUUUGCGGGAAGAGAUGAAAUGUCUAUGAAUAGGUACCUAAGAAUUAAUAAAUCCACUGAACUUUGAACCUGGUAAAAUGUUUAAUGCAAAAUAAAUUAUCUUUACAGUACAUAUGGGGCUACUUUAUAGCACUAGUGCGAGAAGUAGCAUAUUAUGUUACUGUGUCGAACAUUUAAAGGGCCAUAUGUACUGUAAAACGUUGUACGAUACAUGUGCGAAUAGGUAAUUCGCAACUCGUGUCGAUUUAAAACACUCCCUUCGGUCGUGUUUUAAUUUAUCGCCACUCGUUUCGAAUUUCCUAUUUUUCGCACUUGUAUCGUAAUGUACUAUUACCUAGAACUAGAAACAUAUAAGAAAUUAACAAGUAUAUAUGUUAGCACCUAAGCUAAAGACU